rnacentral:snRNA from 1 species
GUGCUCCCUUUGGCAGCACAUAUACUAAAAUUGGAAUGAUACAGAGAAGAUUAGUGUGGCUCCUGGGCAAGGAUGACAUGCAAAUUCGUGAAGCAUUCCAUACUUUU